ACACUCUUUGUCCUUAUCUACCCAGCCACAGCUUCCAGUGCAAGUGUCCUUGUGCCCUGGUGCCUGAUAUCCAGCUCCGGCAGCCUAGAAAAUCAGUUAGGCUUUUCAGUCACAGCACCCUCUGUGACAAACGUGUGGAGCACCGCACGACUUCUUCAACCAGCUGGUUUUUCUGGCAUUCGAAUAAAAGUAAAAAUAGAAAACAAAGAGGGAGAAGAAAAGUGACAAGCUGAAACCUGCGAAGAGAAAGAGGACAAGAACCUGUAUGUACCCAGUGGUGUGGAUAAAUCGUUAUGUAUCUGCCUACGCAUUGUCAGAAAUACAGCAGCCUAAGUAGCCAUUCAAGGAAUUUAGAGUAAAGUACCAUGGUCAGAAUUCAAGAUAUAGCCACUACAGGAUCUGAAAUGCCAUCUGUUCCAACCGCACGACAUCCCCAUUCAGCAGGCUCACAAGGCUGGCAUAGACAGGAAGAGGGACCCCUCUGUUGUCCUCUACUCUCUUCUUCAACUGAGCAAUGAGCAGAAGAUUUAAGUUUGGGAUUUUUUCACUAUUUUUCCCAAACGCAUGAACAGGUUCUUCUCAAACUGCAAGAGUCGAUUCAAAAUCCAGACAGCUUUCACCACCCAAGGAUUCAGGGAAGUGUUUAUUUCUUUGUCUCAGAAUCUCUUUAAACAUGGUAA
rnacentral:lncRNA from 1 species